AAAUAAUAAUUUAUCCUAUCAAUUUCUACAGGAAAAUAGUAUAAUUAGGGCUGUUGGAAUAGAUUUAAAAAAAAAAGAAUGUUGGUACACUUGCAUCUUUUAAACAACUUUUCCUUAGUAUUAUACUAAUCGUCAACAAAGUAACUUCCCCCUACUGCUUCCUCACGUGCUUAAUGCCGAAGACAACGUGCCUUUUUUAUGGGUCUCUAACAACGGAGUUUCUCGUAUCCAUCUUGUUAUUUGUUGCAAGUAAUCCGCCACUCCAAAACCUUGCAUCACAUCAACAACUUAAAUUUUUUCAAAAAACACAACAUUCAUGGAGACAAAGGAGAAUUAAACGGCACGUCAUUCAAUUUGGAAGCAGCAAAGUUAUUUGUGUCGUGUAACAUCGCUUUAAAUGUACUGGAAAAACUACUCCAGGUCGUUGGUUAGUUAACAACUUGGUUUGGGAAGUACGUCAAGGAGCUUUAAAUAGAAUAAAAGAAGAGGUGAAAGAAAAGGAUACUUUAGUUUAAUUAGAUGAGACAAAAGAUCAUCAAGGGAGUUCAAUGACAGCAACUUUGAUUGGCCCUUUGGACGGACAUUUCUGUGGGAGACCUUGAUUUAUAUUGAGAUUGCAAACACAAACAAUGUAAAAAACAUUAGCUCAGUUUAUAAGUUAUUGUUUGAAGAUUUAAUCCCAUGUAGACUUAAAGUUUUCAUCUCUGAUGCAGCCUCGUAUUGUCUCAAAGCAGGAGAGGAUCUUCGAAAUUUUUUGUGCAAUUGAUUCAAAAUUUCAUGUGUUGCACAUGGAUUACAUAGGGUUGCAGAUACGGCUCAAUCAAAGUGUCCGCUAACGAAUGAACUUAUUUUCUUUGUGAAGAAGAUGUUUUUGAAUUCUGGAAGAAAAAAGCGAGUAUUUACUGUUUAAUACGAAAUUCCCCUCCCUCCAUCACCAAUUAUAACAAAAUAAGAAACUUGAUUAAAAGCAGUGAAGUACUAUUACCAUCAAUUCAAAGUCUUCAGACAGUAUUUAAACAGCCUUAAUGAAGAUUUGGUAACAACAAGAAGAACACAACAAGUAAUUAAUAAUGAUUCUAUACGAGAAGAAAUCGUAAUUAUAUAGGAAAUUUUUUCGUCAAAUACUGCGAUUGAGGAAAGGUUGCCUCUUUUUACCAGCCUGACCAUUUUAGAAAAUCUUACUCAAAAUUUGAAGGACGAGCCGUUCAAGACCAUGUUAAAAGAGGUACUUCAAAAGAACUCUGGUUACAAAAAACUAAAGGAACUCUCAACAAGUAAAAACUUUAUAUACAAAAAUACUCCAAUGGUCAUUUGUGAUGCUGAGAGAGUAUUUAGUAUGAUGAAUAUGAUCAAUACGAAAAGGAGGUCCAAACUAAGUACUAAGAAAUUGAAAAAAUUAUUGAUCACCAAAUGGAAUAAAUGUUUUGUAAAAAAAGUAAUUGUCAACACGUAAAUAUUAAUAAUACUUUUAAAAAAUAAUUUGUUACUUUAUUGCCUCAUUUCUAUUCUUUAAAUUUCGAGCCAAAGUUAUCUAUUCAUCCUUUAUGGUCACUUCGAAUUAAUGAGUUCACUUUCUGUAAUUAUGGGCUUGAUUUUUUCUAAUUAAAUAACAACUACGUAAAUUUUGAAAAACA
rnacentral:lncRNA from 1 species